AGCAGCAGCCGUGUGGGU
rnacentral:misc_RNA from 1 species